rnacentral:rRNA from 1 species
AUAAUCCUGUAGUCGCAAAUGUUGUCUCUCAUGAGUGGAGCAUGAGUACAAAGGUGCACGGGAAAUUCCGUCGGUAUCUGGGACGAGCAUCACCCAAGGCUAAAAACUCUCCAGAGACCGAUAGAGAACCAGACCCGUGAGGGAAAAGGGAAAAGCACACCGGAAGGGGAGUUGAAUAGAACCUGAAAACGUGUGCUUACAAGAAAUCAGAGCCCGUUAAUGGGUGAUGGUGGGCCUCUUGUAGAAU